ACUGUACAGCAGCUUCACAAGUUAAUAGAAUGAGUAACAUACAUUGAGUGGUAACAUACAGAAUAAAGAUUUAGAUGUCUAGACCAACAGUCCAGUGUUUGCAUGUGUGUGUGUGAGCCUAUAGCCAACUAGUUUAUCAGCCUCAUCAAGAAUAAGCAAUCGAAUGGAAGAAGUACACAAAAGUUUGCUGUCAAUUAGAUGUUUCACCCGUCCUAAAGAAUAAUUGAAAAACUGAUUUUACAAAUGUAUCCUACAAGUUAAAGAAGAAACACUAUCUUGUACCUUACUUGAUGAUUUUAAAUGUAUUUUUUUGUAUGAUUGCUUAGGUAUAAUACUUUGCUUGGCACUGAUAUUCCAAAUUAUAAUAUAUAUUUCUGCCCAAAGCUAUACGUAUUCAUUCCCAAAUGAUAUGCAAUUGAUCAAUAUUUAACUGCUCCACCUACCUGGUGUACCAAUAGCAAUUUGACAAAGUUUCAA